CUCUCCCUCCCUCCCUCCCUCCCCCUCUCUCUCUCUCUGUGAGUGUGUGUGAAAAAUGGCGGAUGCUUACUGGAGGUACGCAGACAGUAGGCAGCAGCAGCAACAGCAACAACCGACUCUUCCCCCUCUUGUCGGGAAACGCCCUCGCUCCGAUUACGAUGUGUCCGGUGGUCAUGAGUUGGGUGGCUAUUUUGCUCGUGAUGUUGAAAGAACAGCGUACCCCGUACUUAGAGAUACGGAUUCCCUUGGAGCAUCAUACGAUCGUUACUUGCGAAAUGCGCAAAUUGCUUCUUAUGGUGGGGGAGACUCUGCUAGACCCAUUACUGGUGGAUUAAGUGGUCACUCGGUUGAUGACGCUCGAAUGAUUGGUGUUGGGGGCUCAGACUCAGCAGUGGCAUUGAAGAGCCACUCCAUGGGAUUGGAAGGUGGUAUGCAUGAGCGUCCCCUUCCUCCUGGUGCUACCAAUACGCUGUUUGUGGAGGGCUUGCCUGCUAACUGUACAAGCAGGGAAGUUUCUCAUAUCUUUCGCCCAUUUGUAGGUUACAAAGAAGUAAGACUGGUGAGCAAGGAAUCAAGACGUCCUGAUGGUGAGCCACUGGUACUUUGUUUUGUGGAUUUUGUGAGUCCAGCCCAUGCGGCCACUGCUAUGGACGCGUUGCAAGUUUCAACACACAGAGAGAGAGAACCAGGUCUGUUCGCGAUUCACACAGUGGACGCGAGAGGAAGAGAUGGCUGGGCACGAGAACGAGAGAGAGAGAGAUGGCUGGACGUGACGGUGUGCGGAGGAGGCGAGGGAGUGUGCGGCGGGCCGGCAAAAUUUUCCAGAUCUGCGUGGGAAAGGAACGGCUGCACUGCUGCUGCUGCUGCAUGUGGAAGCCUGGAAGGCGAAAGUUGUAGGUGUUAGGGCUUAGCUGGGCUGGCUUUACAUCAAGUUGAGCCAAAAGUAAUGUGGUGGCUGAGUAAUCUGCGAAUCGGUUCUCAUUAUUCAGUUUGCAAUGUAUGCAUAUAACAGAUGCAGGGAUCUACAACCCCCAAGUGGUUAGGCAGGUGGUCAAUAUUUGAGAUUUAGGGGUUUGCAUCCUCUUAAGGUCUCAGAUUCGAAAUCUCCUAGGUGCUAUCAACUAUUUAGAGGCUAGUCUAUUCGAAGCUUUGCUCCGGCUUUAAUUGGACUCCCCACAAGUGGGCGAUGUGAUUGGGCUCUCAAGAUUAGUCGAGAUGUUCGUAAGCUGGCUCAUACGUUUGAGUUAUAAAAACAAAAACAGAUGCAUGGAUCUAGAUGAAAAGGAGAAGAGAGAUCCAUUUCAACUUCAACCGCUAGGCUCGUAAUUGCUGAGUCAGAAUCUUAGUUGAAAGUCAUAAUCCUACUAUAUUUUCUGUGUAAUUUGUUAAGAUAAUAAAUCUGUAUCUUAUACAUUACUUAUAAAAUAUAGAUUCGGUUUACAAAAAACUCAGUCUUUUCUUGUUUUAAAAGUGAUGCAUGAUAUAGUCUCUUUUGAAAUGUUAUUGAAGAUUUACCUAGCUAUCAUUUCGCCAUUGAU